AUUGAACGCUGGCGGCGUGCCUAACACAUGCAAGUCGAGCGGCAGCGCGGGAGCAAUCCUGGCGGCGAGCGGCGGACGGGUGAGUAACGCUUGGGAAUCUGCCUGUUAGUGGGGGACAACCCGGGGAAACUCGGGCUAAUACCGCAUACGCACUACGGUGGAAAGCCGGGGACCGCAAGGCCUGGCGCUAACAGAUGAGCCCAAGUCGGAUUAGCUAGUUGGUAGGGUAACGGCCUACCAAGGCGACGAUCCGUAACUGGUCUGAGAGGACGACCAGUCACACCGGAACUGAGACACGGUCCGGACUCCUACGGGAGGCAGCAGUGGGGAAUAUUGGACAAUGGGGGAAACCCUGAUCCAGCGACGCCGCGUGGGUGAAGAAGGCCUGCGGGUUGUAAAG
rnacentral:rRNA from 1 species